UCAAACCAUAAUUAUAAGACCAAUAAGAGAAUGUGUCCAAUGGGUAUGGACUGUAUCAAAAUACAUACAUGCCGUAAUAAUUUCAUAUUAUAAAUCAUACAUAUGAAAAACUAGAUCAGUGCCCGCAGUAUGGUGAGUCGCGCUAGAAGUUAAAGAACACUGAAGUUAAUGAUGAUGAUAGUGUAUGCAAGAAGGAUCUUCAUGCCAAGGUGAUGUGAUACCUACCAAUAAAUCCAAGGUUUAAGAUAUUUUUAGUUAAUGUAAAUGACAUAAAGAAUAUUAGAUGACGUAUAGAUGAAAGAAAUUGUAGUGGAGAAAUUCGUCAUGCAACUGAUUCUUGGCAUUUUGCCAAAAUAAAUGUAACAGAAAUUAUAACUAAAUUGUGUUUAUUCUUAAAUUAUAUAUGUAAUAAAGUCAUUGAUCUAGAAAACUUAGGUGAAUUGCAACAUGAGGAUACAAUUAUCUUGUGUCAAUUGGAUAUGUAUUUCCCUACAUCAUUUUUUUUGAUAUUAUGGUUCACUUAAUUGUUUAUCUAGUCGGAGAUAUUACAUUUUGUGGUCUAAUUUAUUUAAGGUAGAUGUUUUCAUUAAAUAAAUACAUUAAUAUUUUUAAAGGGUAUACGAAGAAAAGUCACCAUAUGGAAGCUUCGAAUGUUGAAACGUACAUUGCAGAAGAAUAUAUUGAAGUUGGUUCAAACUAUUUGUCAGAAGUAGAUUUUAUAGGAAUUCCCAAGUCUCGUUAUGUUGAAAGAUAUGAAGGUUGAUGCACUCAAGGUUUAAAUGUUAAGACAAUGUUAUGAUAUAUAGGUAUUCAAGCACAUUUGUAUAUAUUAAAUAUUUUUAUUUAAGUUCAACCUUACUUAUCCACUCACAAAAGACUUAUCAAGGAAAAAUUCUCCCAGAUGAAUGAAAAAUAGUUGUCGAUAGAGCAUGACAAGAAAUUGAUAGAUUUGUUUAAUGAGGAUUUAUAAUAAUGGGAGUGCAUAUAAGACAAUUAAAUGAUGUCAUAUAUGCAUAAAUUUAAUGUAAUAACUUGGUUAUGAUUGAGGUUGAGUCGAUGUACUUCUCUAGUUCGAAAGAUAAGAAUCUUGUCAUGGCAUCUAUAUCGUACUUUGGAGUCAUUUAAGAGAUUUGGGAGAUUGAUUAUGUUAUAUUUAAAGUUCAUUUAUUUAAAUGCAAGUGGAUUGAUAAUAAUAUGGGUGUAUAAAUCGAUGAAUUAGAAUUCAUAUGGGUUAACAUUCGUCAUACAACUUAUAUGAACGAACCUUUUAUCAGGAAUCUCAAGAAAAACAAGGUUUUUAUGUCACUGAUCCUUCUAAUAAUAGAUGGUCAAUUGUUUUCCAAGAAAAAUAAAUUCAUACUACUGAUGAAAAUCAAGAUUUAACUCUGAAUAUUUUUCAGACUCCUUCUUUAUCAAUGCACAUGUGUAUCUCAUAUGAAGAAAAUGAUUCAGUUGAUGUGCAUGAUAUUCUUUAGGGUCAUCAAUAAGAGGUAUGGAAAACUAACAAGUAAACUUUUUUAUUGUUUGUUCAUAAUUUAUUGUUAUUUUCAUUUUUAAUAUUUAUAGUUAAUGUUGUUACAAUUCUAAUUGUUUUUAUAUUUUGUUCAACUUAUAAGUGUUUAAUAAAUGGGCAGUGAUCAUUAACAAAAGAAAACUUAUCUAGCGUAUGUUCGUUCACGUUGUACAAUUUGUUUCCUUGAGUUUUAUGAAUCCAAUUGAACCAUUGAUAUGUUUUAAUUUUGUUAUAAAAAAAUGAAUAUGUAUAAUUUUAAGUCACUCUCGACAUAUUUGAGUAGUCAUUAAAUAUAUGGUACAAAAUGUAUAUAAUUUUAGUUUUGAUGUAUUGUAUAGUUACUCCUUUAACCAUGCAGUUAUCAAAUAUAUGAUACAAAAUGUGUCAUUUAGGUUAUGUUUUUUUUUAAGUUAUAACAAAAAAAUAUAAAACUAAAAUAUAUAUAUAUAUAAUUCAUAGGAUUUCAAAUCAAUUAAUAGUCUCAACCAAUAUGAAAAGUGAUUCACCUAACAACUACUAUCAACUAAUGAGAAAAGUGAGACAUUUCACUUCGGUUCAAAGUCCAACCAAUAUAAAAAGUGAGAGAUUUAUCCUCAAUUAACCUUUCAAUCAAGAGAAAAUGUAGCGUGUUUUUUAUUUUUUUUUACCUUAUUCAAUAACCCAAAAAGAAAAAUGACUAAUUUUUCAUAACAUCUUGUCACCUGAGACCCCAACCUAGAUAAGGACCCUUUACCAAUCAAGAUUAAAACUCUUUUUUAUAGGAGUGUAUCUUAAAACUUCCAUUUAUCAAAACUCACAAUUUUUUUUGAAAACUUGCAUGCCAUUAUCUAAGAACGCCACUUUCAUUACUAAUAAGUCAUAUCUAAUUAUCUUAUAAUGAAGAAACCUCUGAAUCUUUAAACAUUCACAAAAUCUACUUUAAAAAUCAUACCAUCCUUCAGACCUCUUAGCCAAAUCCAUCACCUUAUUACCAUGAACUUGACAUAUUUUUCUCUUGAUCUAUUCUUAAAUAUUGUGAUUCGGUAAUGUGAAAAUAGUAGUUUCUAAUUAACAGGGAAGAAUCCCCAUUAAUUACCAGCUACCUAUGUCUAAUUUCUAUUAUUAUAAUUUAAAUUGUACUAGUUAGAAUAUUUGUUUAUAUUCUAAACACUACCAUAUAUAUUGAAUCAUUGAUGGAACAAAAAAUCUUGAAGCUCUCUAGAAGGUUUCUAAUGCUCAAUAAAAAUAUGGCAAUAUUGUUUAGUACUCAAUAGAGCAAUAUCGUUGAGACAAAUAUUGCAUGUGCUUCCAUAUGCAUAUAUAUAUAAACAUAACCAUAAAGUAGUAUUCAUAUCAAGCAAUUAUUAUUAUUCCCAAUGUCUCAACUCUUUCUUCGUUCUCUCUAAUAAUUAGUUUUUAGUACUAGAUAAAAUUUUGGACCAUGAGAUCAUAACUCAAUCAACUGUCAAGUUUUAAACGCAAUGAAUAUUUUUUAAUUAUUAGGUACAAAAAUAAAAAAGUACAAAUAUGAAAAAGUAUAAAUGCAAUGAAUUUCACUUAGGUACACAUAUGAAAAAACAAUACACAUUGGAAGAGAGACCACACUCUAGAGCCAACAAUUAAAUAGGUUGGUUACUUCUCUGGAUGUUGACCCGUCGAUAAAAAUUUGAGUCUUGAGAGUAUAUUUUUCUUAAGAUCUUGAAUUUAAAUCAUGUUAGUUCUGACUUUAAAUGAAAUCUUUUCUAAUAGACGGCGGAAUUGAUUCAUUUAGAUUAAUCAGUCGAAAUACUGGAUUCCGAACUUCAAAAAAUUAGGUUGGCUACUUGAGUUCCUAAAUUUAAUGUGUUAGUAGUCUCUAUUCAUUGCAUAGUUUUCCUAACCCUAAAAAACAUCCAUUUUAUACACUAGCCAUAUGUGUGCUUCUUCAAUGCCCAUCAUUUUUUAUGAACUUUAAAUGCAAAAUUGGGCCAUGCCAGCCAAUUUAAUGGCGCUAUUAAGGCUAUAUUGUAUGUCUAGGAGACCUCACAACAUAUGAGGAAAUUUGAAUCCUAUAAGUUUCUUUUUUGAGGACCACAAUAUUGUUCUAAAGUAGAAAGGAAUUUGACAAUAACCUUUUGAUGAGUGCAAUGAUUCUUUUGUGCCCACCCUUAAUCAUGGUGUCUCGAAUUUAGCUGUAUAAUCAUCCCAUUAAAUUUUCUUCACAAUUUGUAACCAAUAACAUUUGAUGAGUUAGAGUAUUUUCAAGAAGGUUGCUUUAGCUAACAUGGAAUCAGUUUAAUAGUCAUUUUCAUUAGAGCAUGAAAAAUUAUGGUGGCAAACAGAUUUCAUAGCUCAUAGAGGCAUCCUUUAUCUGUUCUCUUAGACUCGAGCACCACUAUUGAUUUAUGGUCGGUUGGAAGAUGAGGAAUUUUAAUAAAGGAAAAGAAAUUGGAUGGUAGGGGAGAGGAAGGGAUGAGUUUUAAUUAUCCAUACUUAGUCAUCAAAAUUUUUAAUUUAAUUUAAUAUUUUAUUUUAAUCUCUUAAUUAAAAAAUAUUACAAACUAUUCCUUUAACUUCAUUUAUAUUAUUUUAUUUGAUAUUUUAUGUCAAUUUCUAAUAAAAAAAAAUUGAUUAUGUGACGUGACAAAAAAGUCAUUGGUACAAAUUUGAGUCGGUAUAUGUAGUUGAAAAUGGAUACAUUAUUUAAAUUGAGAGGAUUUUGUUUCUGGGAGAACCUCGCUAUUUAAACUGUGUAUUAGUUUUUAAUUACAUAUGUCGAUUCAUAUUUAUAUCAAUGAUUUGCUAUCGUUUCACUAAAACUUAACAUUUUUUUCAAUAGAAAUUAUCGGGAUCAAAUAGUGUAACAUAAAUGAUGUUAAGAGACUAAUUUAUAAUAUUUUUUAAUUAAGUGACAAAGCUAAAAUAUUAAAUUAAAUUAAAGAACUAAAACAUGUAUUAAGCCUUUUAAUUAUAUAUAUAUAUAUAUAUAAGUAUAUUAUAUAUUAUAUUUACCUAUUAUAUAUAUAUAUAUAUAUAUAUAUAUAUAUAAUAUAUAUAUAUAUAUAUAAUUAUAUUAAUAAUAUAUAUUAAUAAUUUAUUUAUACCAUAAAAUUUUUAAUACUCAUUUAAUAAAAAAGGUUUUAAAAUUUUUAUCAAAAAGAAAAACUUGUUCAUUCAUAAAUAACACAAAUGGUUAAAUUAAAUAUUUAAUAUUUAAAUAUUUUAAUUGUAAAAUAAAAUAUUAUAAUAUCAUAAAUUCAUUAUAAAUGUUAAUUAGAUGAAUUUUAUUGGACGCACUACCAAUUGAUUAUCCAUUUAAUCUCAUUAAAUAAUUAUAAAUUAAAUAUGAAAUAUAUAAUUCAUAUACUAUAAUUAUAUAUAAGAUAUUAAGACUAAUACAAAUAAAAUAAUAGAUGAAAAAAUAUAAUGAAAUAAAUAAGAGUUGAUCAUAUAUAUAUAUAUAUAUAUAUACUAUAUAUAUUAUAUAUAUAUAUAUAUAUUAUAAAUAUAUAUAAUAUAUAAAAUAAUAUAAUAUAUAUAGUAUAUAUAUUAUAUAUAAUAUAUAUAUAUAUAUAUAUAUAAAGAAAGUACAUAUAAAAGAAAAUAUACAAUAGUCAUAACAUAUAGAUCUCACUAAACAAUUACAUAGCUAAUCAUGCAGAAAAAAUAUACUGAAAACAUAAUCAAUUAAAUUUAAAACACGAUCAACAACAUACAACUAAAUAGACAUAGAAUAAUAGAAUAUAAUAUAUAUAUAUAUAUAUAUAUAAUAUAUAUAUAUUAUAUAUAAACAUAUAUAUAUAUAUAUAAAAUAUAUAUUAGUUAGAUAAUAAUACUUCUUUUUGUUUAUUUUGAUUUUUUUUAUUAGAUAAAUGUUUCACUAUUAUUUUACAACAUUGUCCUAUGUAGCAUGAGUGUAUGGGGAAAAAGCACUUACCUUGCGUGUUUUCUAACUUUGAACGAUCAAGUGCUUAGUGCUCCAUUUUAUUAAGAAUUUCCGCAACGUAGAAAUGCCCAAGAUAAGUGGUAGUAAAAAGAGAGUGAUGAUUUUAUUUGUGUAACUUUUC
rnacentral:lncRNA from 1 species